GUCAGGUGCUCCAUGAGGAAAGGCUGACAGCCACUGCCAGCUAUUGUCCACUUCUGAGACCAGAAAACAGAUUUUGUCAUCAGCAAAAGAUUCAGAGUAGAGGCACAGGAGAAAGGGAGGGAUCUGCCACAGUUUGCUUGGUUGCCACUGACAAAGGAUAAUGCCCUUAUUUGCCCAGUGCCCAGACUUUCAGGCUUCUCACCCAUAUUGUCCUCACCAUCAUCAUUGCACCAAAGGAUUCCACUACACAGCCUUCACAGUCCGGACACAUGAGAAAUUGCCAUCAAAGGAAAAUAAACUUCUCAAG